AGUUAUGGUUCCUUGGAUCGUACUUUGUUAUUUGGAUAACUGUGGCAAUUCUAGAGCUAAUACAUGCAGCAGAGCUCCGACCUUCGGGAACGAGCGCUUUUAUUAGACCAAAAUCAAUCGGGCCUCGUGUCCGUUGAACGUGGUGACUCUGUAUAACUUUGGGCUGAUCGCACGGGCUUGUCCCGGCGACGUAUCCUUCAAGUGUCUGCCUUAUCAACUGUCGAUGGUAGGUUAUGCGCCUACCAUGGUCGUAACGGGUGACGGGGAAUCAGGGUUCGAUUCCGGAGAGGGAGCCUGAGAAACGGCUACCACAUCCAAGGAAGGCAGCAGGCGCGCAAAUUACCCACUCCCGGAACGGGGAGGUAGUGACGAAAAAUAACAAUACGGGACUCUUUUGAGACCCCGUAAUUGGAAUGAGAACACUCUAAAUCCUUUAACGAUUAACGAUUGGAGGGCAAGCCAAGUGCCAGCAGCCGCGGUAACACUUGCUCCAAUAGCGUAUAUUAAAGUUGUUGCGGUUAAAAAGCUCGUAGUUGGAUCUCAGUUCUGGUCUAGCGGUCUGCCUACCGGCAGUCACUGCUGGUUCUGAACAAGCCAGUCGGUUUCCCUUGAUGAUCUUCGCCGGUUGUCUCGGGUGACCGACAAGUUUACUUUGAAUAAAUUAGAGUGCUCAAAGCAGGCGUGACGCCUGAACAAUGGUGCAUGGAAUAAUGGAAUAGGACCUCGGUUCUAUUUUGUUGGUUUUCGGAACACGAGGUAAUGAUUAAGAGGGACAGACGGGGGCAUUCGUAUUGCGACGCUAGAGGUGAAAUUCUUGGACCGUCGCAAGACGAACUACUGCGAAAGCAUUUGCCAAGAAUGCUUCCAUUAAUCAAGAACGAAAGUUAGAGGAUCGAAGGCGAUCAGAUACCGCCCUAGUUCUAACCAUAAACGAUGCCAGCCAGCGAUCCUGGUAGGAUUGACAGAUUAAGAGCUCUUUCUUGAUUUUGUGGGUAGUGGUGCAUGGCCGCUCUUGGUUCGUGUAGUGAUUUGUCUGGUUCAUUCUGAUAACGGACGAGGCUCUAGCCUACUAAAUAGACGCCCGGAUCUCGGUCAGUCCGGCGUUCUUCUUAGAGGGACUGGCGGCGUUCAGCCGCACGAGGUUGAGCAAUAGCAGGUCUGUAAUGCCCUUAGAUGUCCUGGGCCACACGCGUGAUACAUUGAAGGAAUCAGCGUGUGCUUUCCCUGUUCGACCGGGCUGGGUAACCCGUUGAACCUCCUUCGUGCUAGGGAAUGGGAUUUGCAAUUGUCUCCCAUGAACGAGGAACGCCUAGUAAGUGCGAGUCAUCAUCUCGCGUUGAUUAGGUCCCUGGCCCUUGUACACACCGCCCGUCGCUAUUACUGAUUGAAUGUCUUAGUGAGGACUUCGGAUUGGCUGUCGAUUUGGCUCUAGGUUCGAGCCGACGUGCCG
rnacentral:rRNA from 1 species